rnacentral:rRNA from 1 species
UGGGGAAUAUUGGACAAUGGGCGAAAGCCUGAUCCAGCCAUGCCGCGUGUGUGAAGAAGGCCUUUUGGUUGUAAAGCACUUUAAGCGAGGAGGAGGCUACUUAGAUUAAUACUCUAGGAUAGUGGACGUUACUCGCAGAAUAAGCACCGGCUAACUCUGUGCCAGCAGCCGCGGUAAUACAGAGGGUGCUAGCGUUAAUCGGAUUUACUGGGCGUAAAGCGUGCGUAGGCGGCUUUUUAAGUCGGAUGUGAAAUCCCUGAGCUUAACUUAGGAAUUGCAUUCGAUACUGGGAAGCUAGAGUAUGGGAGAGGAUGGUAGAAUUCCAGGUGUAGCGGUGCAAUGCGUAGAGAUCUGGAGGAAUACCGAUGGCGAAGGCAGCCAUCUGGCCUAAUACUGACGCUGAGGUACGAAAGCAUGGGGAGCAAACAGG